rnacentral:misc_RNA from 1 species
GAUGAAGAGCGCAGCGAAAUGCGAUAAGUAAUGCGAAUUGCAGAAUUCAGUGAGUCAUCGAAUCUUUGAACGCACAUUGCGCCCUGUGGUAUUCCGCAGGGCAUGCCUGUUCGAGCGUCAUUUCAACCCUCAAGCCUCGCUUGGUGUUGGGCCCUGCCCGCCGCGGCCGGCCCUAAAGAUAGUGGCGGCGCCGCCUGGCCCUCAGCGUAGUACAGCUCUCGCUCCAGGGUCCGGCGGCAGCCUGCCAGAACCCCCCAACUCUGUGGUUGACCUCGGAUCAGGUAGGGAUACCCGCUGAACUUAAGCAUAUCAAUAAGCGGAGGA